rnacentral:rRNA from 1 species
GACAGAGGGUGCAAACGUUGUUCGGAAUUACUGGGCGUAAAGCGCGUGUAGGCGGCCCUGUAAGUCGGGUGUGAAAUCCCACGGCUCAACCGUGGAAGUGCAUUCGAAACUACAGGGCUAGAGUUCUGGAGAGGAAGGUGGAAUGCUUGGUGUAGAGGUGAAAUUCGUAGAUAUCAAGAGGAACACCGGUGGCGAAGGCGGCCUUCUGGACAGUAACUGACGCUGAGACGCGAAAGCGUGGGGAGCAAACAGG